rnacentral:rRNA from 1 species
CCCUUGCCGGCGACCGGCGCACGGGUGAGUAACACGUAUGCAACCUGCCCUCUUCAGGGGGACAACCUUCCGAAAGGGAGGCUAAUCCCGCGUAUAUCGGUUUCGGGCAUCCGAGAUCGAGGAAAGAUUCAUCGGAAGAGGAUGGGCAUGCGGCGCAUUAGCUAGACGGCGGGGUAACGGCCCACCGUGGCGACGAUGCGUAGGGGUUCUGAGAGGAAGGUCCCCCACACUGGUACUGAGACACGGACCAGACUCCUACGGGAGGCAGCAG